rnacentral:lncRNA from 1 species
CCUAACUCGAACUCUGGGUUAGGGACUUAGGGAUCGAAUUUGCGAACAGAGAGGGGCAGAGGGAUGAAAUCGGGGCUGAAAUCGAAAUCGGGGUAGCAGUCGCGACCUAGACAGCUUUAAACCCAUUAUGUUUCAAAACGAUGUCACUUCCCAUUUUUUUCUGCGCGUACGCCUUUCGCGCCUUGGAGGAAGCCUUGCACGCCUUUGAGAACGCCUCACCAGCGUCGUCGCCUAGCCCCUUACGCACACUCAUUUUCAGGCCAGAAUAUGGCUUUUUGCGCCUCAGGCGCGCCUUGAGGCGCGCUUUUUAAUUCACUACAGUGAGCUCCAUGCCCGAUUGGCUCAAGACUCUUGGUGCGGCCGCGAGUUAGGGUUUGGGACUUUGGGGGAAGCACCG